rnacentral:lncRNA from 1 species
CUUCCUCCCUCACAUCGGACUCGAAAUUUUGUUGCCCAAAGGCCUUGGCCGCUUCUGUUGCCACUUUCUGAAUGUCCUUAACAUGAGUGGAGGCAAAAAUCCGUAGCUUCCAACCGUGAGCUCUCGCUGCCAUUUCCGCUGUGGUAAAAGUUCCCAACCAAAUUCUUGACUUCUUGUUGGGUCCUCUGACUUCACACACCCACUUAGCUGAGAUCCUUCACCUCAUACCAUGAUAAACUGGAUGCCUCCUCUCGCAGAACUUCUUCCUCCCCCGUCUUUCAGGUAUUUCUUAGUGAACCCAUUUCUUAUUUCCUUGUUCAAAAUCACUAGAUUGCAGAUAGGAAGACAAAAAUAAUGAUUUGAAAUAAAGAGGAGUGAGAACGCUCAAAAAAACCCUACUCAUCUAUCAGUGGAAUAUGUGCACACUGGCGGAUCCAGGCACGGGCUCGAUCGUGUUAUAGCAUGUGUCCACCCCUAAAAAUGCCUAUUUUUUUUCCAAUUUUUUUUAAAGAUAAAUCCAUGUAUAUUUAUAUUGUAAUCCGUGUCCAAACUCAAGGCUGGAUCCGCUAAUGUGCAGGGAACGAGACCUAUACACGAAAAGUUUGAAUAGUAAUGGAGGGUAAGGUUUGAAAAUGAUAUCCACUAACAGAAGGGCAAAA